rnacentral:lncRNA from 1 species
GAAGUUGUUCGCCAUGAUGCUGAUCCUAGUCUGAGGGCAUUUCUUUCGGUUGUGUUUGAGUCGGUAAGAUAUGUCCAAACAAUAAUCUGUAGUCAGUUUCUUAUUGACAUCUUGUUUAAUAGUUACUUCUUGGUUACAAUAGUUUGGAGUCAAAACAAAACAAAAUAUAUAGUGCAUUUGAGUUGGGAAAAAGUCUAAAUAAACUGUUUACUCUUGUGGCAUGUAUAUAAAUUAAAGUUACACCAGUGGGUGAACUGUUCUUGGACUUUCUUCUUUAAAACUAAGAUAUUUUCCUUGACUCUAAAGGGCCACUGAUGAAAUUUAAAGAUAUGCACUUAAUAUUUGUAAGCAAUGAAGUAUUUUUGGUCAUCCAAUGCCUCAUUUUGCUCAUGCUUCUAUAUUCAAAGGCAAAGGUUCCUUCAAAAAUUUAAAUCAAGUCUUUUGUAUGGUCUUUUAACCUUUUUUUCUAGCUUAACACUAGUGACAUGUGUCAAGAUAUAGGGCAUACAAAUCUUUGUCUCCGAAUGUGUGUUAAUGUGUAUGCAGGAAAAUCUUAUACACAGGAAAAUCUUUGUGGUUGUGGUUCUCGCUGUUGCUGCUAUGUCGUGCAGUUGCUGUUGGUUUUGUCUUGCUGCUGGUGCGACUGUUGGUUUGCUUCAAUUCCCAUGGACUGUCUUGGUUUUGGGCUGUUGGGUCAUGUUUGGGGGUUGCUGAUGUUUUUCUUUUCGGUGAGCUUUGUUCCAUCUGUUGCACUGCUGUAGUUAUGUGUUGCAGCAACAGUCUUGUUCGCUACUUCUGUUGAUUGUCUCUGCUUUUGUUUUGCUGUGGCCUCCUAUUUUCUUUUGGUUUGUGUCGUGUUGUUCUUGCUGAUUGGUUGGUCUGUUGGUUUCAGCUGUGUUGUUGUUCUGAUAUACGGGAUUCAUUUUUUUGUGUUUGGGUUGUUUGGGUUCUUUUGGGUAAAGGCUUUUUAAUGCUUUAUUGUAAUAUCAAAAUUUAAGCCUAUUGCUGAUAUUAAAUUCUAUUUUUGGUAUAUUCUUGCCAUUAUAGGGCAUGUUCUAUGAUCGUCAU